rnacentral:rRNA from 1 species
ACCAACCGGGAUUACCUCAGUAACGGCGAGUGAAGCGGUAACAGCUCAAAUUUGAAAUCUGGCUCUUCCGGAGUCCGAGUUGUAAUUUGUAGAAGAUGCUUUGGGUUGUGGGUUCGGCCUAAGUUCCUUGGAACAGGACGUCAUAGAGGGUGAGAAUCCCGUAUGUGGCCGAGGCCCGCGCCUAUGUAAAGCUCUUUCAACGAGUCGAGUUGUUUGGGAAUGCAGCUCAAAAUGGGUGGUAAAUUUCAUCUAAAGCUAAAUAUGGGCCAGAGACCGAUAGCGCACAAGUAGAGUGAUCGAAAGAUGAAAAGCACUUUGGAAAGAGAGUUAAACAGUACGUGAAAUUGUUGAAAGGGAAGCGCUUGCAACCAGACUUGGGCGCUGUCGAUCACCCCGAGUUCUCUCGAGUGCACUCGACAGCGCACAGGCCAGCAUCGGUUCGGGUGGCUGGAUAAAGGCCGUAGGAACGUGGCUCCCUUCGGGGAGUGUUAUAGCCUACGGUGCCAUGCAGCCCAGCCGGACCGAGGACCGCGCCUUCGGGCUAGGAUGCUGGCGUAAUGGUUGUAAGCGACCCGUCUUGAAACACGGACCAAGGAGUCUAACAUCUAUGCGAGUGUUUGGGUGGUAAACCCAUACGCGGAAUGAAAGUGAACGUAGGUGAGAACCCCUUUGGGGCGCAUCAUCGA